rnacentral:lncRNA from 1 species
UACAGUCAAUGGCGGCAUGGCGGUGACGUGCAUUGUAAGUUUGUAACUUGGAAGUGUAUGCAUGUGCGAAUUGAUGUGGCGUUGCAUGUCUUAGGCCCCGUUGGUAACUCCGAGUGAUGAUGACAUAUGGUAUCUUACUGACUUCUAUUGGUAUUUGUGGAAAGAAUGUCUUGAGUGGGAGAAUUGGAUCACAAUUGACUAAAUGUAGAAUAAUCGCAAUGUCGUGGUAGUUGUUCGCGAGAGAUAUGCCAAUAGGGUUUCCCUAUUGACAUAUUGAUACAGGCCUGUUUUCAAUUUGUAAUGGAUUCGAAGAGGAUAUUGAUGGAGUUUUGGUAUCAAAAAGUAUAAGUACAUGUUCGUUGGAAGGGCAACCGUAGAGUUCCGGAUCCUUUUGCUAUUGCAAAAUAUUAUGUGCGUGUAAAACUAAACGCUAAAAGAAGAAGAAGAAUGAUUCAAAAAUUCAGGGAGAGAAUCAUCAAAGAAUUAUACUUGUUUAGAACUUUUUUGGUCGAGACGUUAUGGGUGUCUUAAAGGCACUGAAGGUUGCGUUAGAUGUCAUAAUCCCCAACAAAAAGGAAACGCUGAAAAUCCCAGGUGGUGAUGGGAAUUAUUGGCAAUGUUACGGUGUAGAUAAAUUCAGAAAGUGUGAAGCUAGCUGAUGUAAACCGCGCCAGCUGUGCUAUUACCGAGUCUUUCUCACUUUUGCCGCCUAGCAGGAAAAGGUUGUGAGAGUAGCAGAAGAAGAGAAAAUUGCAGUAAACCCGGUUUUGAAAGAAGCCAAACAUUCCGAUGAUAUGGGAGCCCAGCCUGUGGAAACAAAAACCCUAUGUUUCAGAUAGAAAGACAAAAGGAACACAUCGUUCCUCAACCACUUCUGAGGACCACUGUCACCGAAAGAAAAUCACCUCGCUUAUAGACUCGGAAGGUGAAAGCGAGACCCAAAAGUUUUCCACAACGCAGUCCUCCACCGUUACAGACCACAAUGUGUAAAUGCGUCACAUCCGGGAAAUUAAUACUGCAGUAAUCAGAGCGAUAAAAAAAUUGGCACCAAUUCGUAUAUACCAGAUUAUGCCGCAACGCAUUCAAGAAUGGAGCUUAACACCUUGCAGGGCUGAAGAAAAUGAUAGAAAAGAAUUAGAACAAAUUUGUUGGCCGUAAAACAAACCGCGGGAGGCUCAGGAAGAGCUAGAUCUUAAACAAAAGGUUUUACUUUGUCUUGAAGUUUAUUCAUUUUUACGUUUUUUACUUAUGAAGAUGUGUUACUUGUUCUAGUGCUCUAAAGGAACUAGAUAACCAUAGCAAAGGCUAAUAAAUUUAGGGUUGACAUAAACUUUCGCGACGAAGCAGUUAAAGUAGGCGAAAGCCAAUCGACAAUCGAGUGCGCUACUGUCCCGUGCGUCACUCGCGGCAUCAGCAUUGCGGCAAGUAAGGCAUCCGACACAUGAAGGGAUGUUUCAACAAAUAAAACAAACGGGGUUCGGUCCAAUCUUUUAAACCAAAAUAGUGUGCAGUAAAAAGUUACACGGCGGUUCCAAUCCCAGUAACCAAAUAUACUGGAGGCAAUUUAAAGUCCGGUGCAUUGCAAAAAUCCUAAUAAGGGAAUCAGACGAAUUAGUUUCUCGAAGUACAAGAUUACAUCCAUUGUUGUCCAUUUAUGUCAGAAAACUGAUGUAGGUUAGCGGUAUCCUGUAGUACGAGAAGUUUACCGAUAAGGAUCCUGUGUAGAUGAGAUGAUAGUCACCACCGACUCCGUUUUUAACGAUAUUCCUCUCAAUAGACAGUGUUAGCUGUAAUAGGGAUUUUAUAUAGGUUUUUGGGGUGGUUCAGAAACGUUUACCACGUUUUGCAACUAGACGUCAUAUGAAUGGUACAGUUCAGUAUAUUUGCUAAUUUUCAUGCUAUUUCUUUCAGUUUUAAUCUGCUGUCCGACAAUGUUUCUAUAUCUUUAGGUGCAGUUCCUAUCUGCUGUGUGCAAAAAUAAAUGGUGGAAAAAAUCUGCUCAUCAUGCUGAUCAGCACAAUGCCAGCUUCAUUAAGCAUUCUUGAGAUGACCUAUGAACAGACUACACAGUAUUAAAAGACUCUUCCCUUAAGGAGAUUUGUAGCAGUGGACUUUCUUUAGAAGACUUGUAUCAAAUAUUUGCCUGCUUCUUGGAACAAGGAACUUAGGAGGUCUUGAUGACAACCAAGUAUCCUUGGAAAGAUUGUAAAAAAGAUGUUUAAGGAAAUACCUUAAGUUGGAGGACGGUACAUUUUUUGUUUCCCGUUACUAGUUUUGUAAAACAAAUGAUUGAUUCCACAAUCUUCAGCUUCCUAGGCAGACAAUCCGCAAGGCAAUGGGAUAUACAUUUCCUGUAUAUUUUCGAGACAUCUAGUGGAGAAAUAACUAACUCCUUAGAACUUUUAUUGGUGUGUCAGCUGUCCCGUCAGCUGUUCCAUUUCGCGUGGCUGCGGACUGAGGAUGGCUGCUGAAACGAACGUCAAUCUUCCUGAAAUUAUACCGCCGAUUCCGUGUAUUUUGAGAUGCAUCUUGUGAAUUCAACCAAUGCAGAGUUGUUCAAGGAGGAACAUGGCUUGGCUAUGCUAGCAUGUUUUGUUUGUUUUUUUUUUAUCUCCGUUAGCCUGAUAUAUCCAUUUUGUUUCAAAGGUGAUACGUUAAAAGAGUAGUUCUUAACAAUCUUUUUCUCUAUCUAAAUCUCUUAGAUUCUUGGAGGUGUCUUAAGGUGAUGUUUGAAUUUAUUGUUAACAGUUUAAGUUUCGUAAAUCAUGCUUUCAGGUCUUUGGAAUGUAUCUGAUGUACUGUGGUGGCCGCAAAAUCAUUCAAUUACUUGGUUCAAUCCAGGACUUUGUUUUCUUGAUAGUGGGUUACAGUUUUAAUUUGCAGAGAUUCUGGAGGCACCUGAUGUGUUUCAUUGGCAUUGGAGUCCCUCGGUUACAGAAGAGAAUGCCACUACUGUUAUGUUGUCAGUGUAAAUAAAACAUAUCCAGUAUCA